rfam:Schistosoma mansoni strain Puerto Rico chromosome W, complete genome
AUCCAGCUGACGAGUCUAAAAUAGGACGAAACGCACAUCCUGAAU